rnacentral:rRNA from 1 species
AAACACGGACCAAGGAGUCUAACAUGUGCGCGAGUCAAUGGGACCUUCUAAACCCAAAGGCGUACUGAANGUGANGCUKKGCGGCGCGGUUGACCACCGCGGCCGCCCCGGUGAKGGAKGMUGGCACGGGGCGCGCGCCCUCGCGGGCGCGUCGCUUACUCCGGCCCGCACUCCCGGGGCGUCGUUGACGAGCGCACCUAGAGCGCACACGUUGGUACCCGAAAGAUGGUGAACUAUGCCUGGCCAGGACGAAGCCAGGGGAAACCCUGGUGGAGGUCCGUAGCGAUUCUGACGUGCAAAUCGAUCGUCUGAGCUGGGUAUAGGGGCGAAAGACUAAUCGAACCAUCUAGUAGCUG